GGGUUGUGAGGUUAAGCGACUAAGCGUACACGGUGGAUGCCCUGGCAGUCAGAGGCGAUGAAGGACGUGCUAAUCUGCGAAAAGCGCCGGCGAGGUGAUAUGAACCCUUGACCCGGCGAUGUCCGAAUGGGGAAACCCAGUGUGUUCCGACACACUAUCGUUAACUGAAUACAUAGGUUAACGAGGCGAACCGGGGGAACUGAAACAUCUAAGUACCCCGAGGAAAAGAAAUCAACCGAGAUUCCCCCAGUAGCGGCGAGCGAACGGGGAGCAGCCCGGAGUCUGAAUCAGCUUGUGUGUUAGUGGAACGGUCUGGAAAGUCCGACGGUACAGGGUGAUAGUCCCGUACACGAAAAUGCACUUGCUGUGAACUCGAAGAGUAGGGCGGGACACGUGGUAUCCUGUCUGAAUAUGGGGGGACCAUCCUCCAAGGCUAAAUACUCCUGACUGACCGAUAGUGAACCAGUACCGUGAGGGAAAGGCGAAAAGAACCCCGGCGAGGGGAGUGAAAAAGAACCUGAAACCGUGUACGUACAAGCAGUGGGAGCACCUUCGGGUGUGACUGCGUACCUUUUGUAUAAUGGGUCAGCGACUUAUAUUCUGUAGCAAGGUUAACCGUAUAGGGGAGCCGAAGGGAAACCGAGUCUUAACUGGGCGUUAAGUUGCAGGGUAUAGACCCGAAACCCGGUGAUCUAGCCAUGGGCAGGUUGAAGGUUGGGUAACACUAACUGGAGGACCGAACCGACUAAUGUUGAAAAAUUAGCGGAUGACCUGUGGCUGGGGGUGAAAGGCCAAUCAAACCGGGAGAUAGCUGGUUCUCCCCGAAAGCUAUUUAGGUAGCGCCUCGUGAACUCAUCUUCGGGGGUAGAGCACUGUUUCGGCUAGGGGGCCAUCCCGGCUUACCAACCCGAUGCAAACUACGAAUACCGAAGAAUGUUAUCACGGGAGACACACGGCGGGUGCUAACGUCCGUCGUGAAGAGGGAAACAACCCAGACCGCCAGCUAAGGUCCCAAAGUCAUGGUUAAGUGGGAAACGAUGUGGGAAGGCACAGACAGCCAGGAUGUUGGCUUAGAAGCAGCCAUCAUUUAAAGAAAGCGUAAUAGCUCACUGGUCGAGUCGGCCUGCGCGGAAGAUGUAACGGGGCUAAACCAUGCACCGAAGCUGCGGCAGCGACACUAUGUGUUGUUGGGUAGGGGAGCGUUCUGUAAGCCGUUGAAGGUGUGCUGUGAGGCAUGCUGGAGGUAUCAGAAGUGCGAAUGCUGACAUAAGUAACGAUAAAGCGGGUGAAAAGCCCGCUCGCCGGAAGACCAAGGGUUCCUGUCCAACGUUAAUCGGGGCAGGGUGAGUCGACCCCUAAGGCGAGGCCGAAAGGCGUAGUCGAUGGGAAACAGGUUAAUAUUCCUGUACUUGGUGUUACUGCGAAGGGGGGACGGAGAAGGCUAUGUCAGCCGGGCGACGGUUGUCCCGGUUUAAGCAUGUAGGCGGAGGUUCCAGGUAAAUCCGGUACCUUUUAACGCUGAGGUGUGAUGACGAGGCACUACGGUGCUGAAGUGAUAAAUGCCCUGCUUCCAGGAAAAGCCUCUAAGCAUCAGGUAACACGAAAUCGUACCCCAAACCGACACAGGUGGUCAGGUAGAGAAUACCAAGGCGCUUGAGAGAACUCGGGUGAAGGAACUAGGCAAAAUGGUGCCGUAACUUCGGGAGAAGGCACGCUGAUAUGUAGGUGAAGUCCCUGCGGACGGAGCUGAAAUCAGUCGAAGAUACCAGCUGGCUGCAACUGUUUAUUAAAAACACAGCACUGUGCAAACACGAAAGUGGACGUAUACGGUGUGACGCCUGCCCGGUGCCGGAAGGUUAAUUGAUGGGGUUAGCGGCAACGCGAAGCUCUUGAUCGAAGCCCCGGUAAACGGCGGCCGUAACUAUAACGGUCCUAAGGUAGCGAAAUUCCUUGUCGGGUAAGUUCCGACCUGCACGAAUGGCGUAAUGAUGGCCAGGCUGUCUCCACCCGAGACUCAGUGAAAUUGAACUCGCUGUGAAGAUGCAGUGUACCCGCGGCAAGACGGAAAGACCCCGUGAACCUUUACUAUAGCUUGACACUGAACACUGGUCCUUGAUGUGUAGGAUAGGUGGGAGGCUUUGAAGCGUGGACGCCAGUCUGCGUGGAGCCAUCCUUGAAAUACCACCCUUUAAUGGCUGGUGUUCUAACGUAGACCCGUAAUCCGGGUUGCGGACAGUGUCUGGUGGGUAGUUUGACUGGGGCGGUCUCCUCCCAAAGAGUAACGGAGGAGCACGAAGGUUGGCUAAUCCUGGUCGGACAUCAGGAGGUUAGUGCAAUGGCAUAAGCCAGCUUGACUGCGAGCGUGACGGCGCGAGCAGGUGCGAAAGCAGGUCAUAGUGAUCCGGUGGUUCUGAAUGGAAGGGCCAUCGCUCAACGGAUAAAAGGUACUCCGGGGAUAACAGGCUGAUACCGCCCAAGAGUUCAUAUCGACGGCGGUGUUUGGCACCUCGAUGUCGGCUCAUCACAUCCUGGGGCUGAAGUAGGUCCCAAGGGUAUGGCUGUUCGCCAUUUAAAGUGGUACGCGAGCUGGGUUUAGAACGUCGUGAGACAGUUCGGUCCCUAUCUGCCGUGGGCGCUGGAGAAUUGAGGGGGGCUGCUCCUAGUACGAGAGGACCGGAGUGGACGCAUCACUGGUGUUCGGGUUGUCAUGCCAAUGGCACUGCCCGGUAGCUAAAUGCGGAAGAGAUAAGUGCUGAAAGCAUCUAAGCACGAAACUUGCCCCGAGAUGAGUUCUCCCUGAGACUUUAAGUCUCCUGAAGGAACGUUGAAGACGACGACGUUGAUAGGUCGGGUGUGUAAGCGCAGCGAUGCGUUGAGCUAACCGAUACUAAUGAACCGUGAGGCUUAACCUUACAACGCCGAAG
rnacentral:rRNA from 1 species